GUGCUUGCUCUGGCAGCACAUAUGCUAAAAUUGGAACAAUACAAAGAACAUUAGCAUGGCCCCUGUGCAAGAAUGACAUGCAAAUUCAUGAAGCAUUCCAUAUUAAA